rnacentral:lncRNA from 1 species
UAAAAAAAGCAGAGGCAAACUUGGCAGAAGUUAAGACGAAUAUUGUUGAAAAAUUGGUGAAAAAUAUUAUCUCGGCUAUUUCUCAAGUAUUGAAUAAUGUUUGUACCCUAAAAUUUUCACUAUCCAAUCCCGCCACUUUCAAAAGUUAUGUCCAAUUAUUUAUUUUAACAUUUUUAUUAGUUUUUAUUGUUUUACAUUUGUAAUUCCUGGUCUUUUAAAGCUUACUAUGCAGUAUACAUGUAGGUUUUGCUAAUAGUUACAAGCUCCAUGGAGGAAUAUACAACUGCUUACCAAAUACCAUUGACUUUUUCAUAAGUUGUCCUUUUUUAACAAACCUUUCGUUUUCUAGUUUGAAUGGUUUUACACUAGUAAUUCCUGGGCCCUUUAUAGCUUGUUGUUCGGUGUGAGCCAAGAAAUUAAAAGUGACAAAGUUUAUCCAACUGCACACCAAAUAUCAUAAAUAACUGAC